rnacentral:miRNA from 1 species
CACUGCCCGCGAGUAGUUGUGG